rnacentral:tRNA from 1 species
UGUAGCUCAGCCGCAGAGCGCUUGCCUAGCAUGCAUGAGGCACUGGGUUCAAUCCUCAGCA